ensembl:ncRNA F43D2.14 ncRNA
UAACGCUCAGACUUGUUUUUGUUGGCAGGCAUAUGAGCUUAAAGAUGGCCUAUAAUGUAAGUGAAUCUCUGAGUUGAAGCCUGUGUAAAGCUGCGCUUCUAUCGGAACUU